GCUGCAAUCCUCAUGAUAAUUCUUUUCUAUCUAUCCUCUUUUAAACUAUUAAAUUACAAAAAUUAAAUUAUAUCCACUUUGCCAAAAUAUUCUGAAAUGUUUCGUAUAAGCAUUUCUUAAAACUCUAAAAUUCUUUUAGAUUGUUGUCCCAAUCACGAAAAAGUAGCAAAUUUUUAGUACAUAUUCAUCAAUCAGUAAGUUUGUUUCCAUUGUGCAUGAAUACAAGAUACUGAUUCACCAACAUACAAUAGUUUCCUUUACAUGUCACUGAUGCAUGUUUCAAAUUUCAAGAUAUUUUCUGAAAAUACCAUUCAUUUUCAAUGGUUGCCACAUAUAAGAUUUUAAAAAGAUUUGCACAAAUAGUUUAUAAACUCGCAGGAACAUCUAUUAUUCAGAAAUGUUUUAUAUGCAUUAAUAACUGUUUAUUUUCUCCCUUGCAACCCUGCUGAAAGUAUACUUUACAAUAACAGUCUUGAGCAUUUCAUUUUGUUCCAGCUCUCUCGUCUUCUCAGUUCAUGGAUUAAAAGGCUUGUAUUCUCUGCUCCAUGUCUACAUUAUUUGAGUUAUUAUUAUUAAAAAAAUGUGAUAUUUGAGCCACUUCCUUGCCAGUUUCAUAAUAUUUAUAACUAUGGUCCAAACUAUUAAUCACUGGUUUUACAUUCCAAGUUCUCUCUACUUUAAAGACAUUCCACUAUCUUUGAAGAACUUCAUUCAAAAUGAAAUCAAUAAAAAUAGUUAUAUCAAAUUCAAUUCUUUUAGACUGUCUCUUUAAAUAUUAAUAUUAAAGAACAACUGGGCUGACCUGAUGUAUAUUAUGAGUGGUAAGAAGAUGGCAUAUAAUUUUCUUUUCUAUUUUUUUUUCAUUUUUGUUUUUUUUCCUCCCUAAAACAACAUAUUCAUGUUUUAAACGGUAAAAAGUGAACUUUUUGGUAUAUAUUAAAAAAAAAAUUUUUUUUUUCUUUUUAGUCAAUUCUGUAUGAAUAUAUGUAUCUGAAAUUUAUUUCUCAAUUUUUUUUUGCUUUUUGAGUUUUCAAGUAGCUCAAGUUUAGUCUUAUGUGUAUAUUAUGUGAAUAUUUGUAUGCAUGCGUGUAUGUAUGUAUAUAUGUAUGUAUAUAUAUGUAUAUAUAUAUAUAUAUAUAUAUAUAUAUAUAUAUAAUUAUAUAUAUAUAUAUAUAAACUUUGCAUAAUAUUUAGUUGAGCUGCUGGAAUUUUGUAAUGCUAUUUGUAUUUCUUGACUUUGUAAGAUAGUAUCAAAGCAGCCAGCCACCUACCCACCGAUCUCGCAAUUUUGGGUUAUUCUUUCAAAAUGUUUUUGAAGUUGCAGUGUACCAAGAUGGUUUUUUUUUUUUUUUUACAAUAUAUUGUCAACCUCACUUACAUCAAUUAAAUAAUUAUAGUAUUCCGUAGUGACUAAAAUACUAGAGUCACACAAAACGAUUAUGAUUUUUAAAAAUAAAUUACAAGCAUUCAUAUAUUUUUUUUUGUAUGUUUGACUGUAUAUAUGUAUAUAUAUUAAUAUAUGUGUGUGUGUAUAUACAUAUAUAUAUAUGUAUAUAUAUAUAUAUUUAUACGUAUAUGUAUGCAUGUGCGUAUAUAUACAUAUAUACAGGCCAAAUUAAUGUAAUAAUCAUUUAUAUAAUUUAUUAUGAAAAAUACAGAACCAAAUAUAUGGUAGCUUUUGUUUAGAUUAUUCCUGAUACUGAUUGCACUUUACACUGGGGAUUUUUGACGAAAUCGUUCCACCUUAUUUUGGGGUGUGACUUUUCUAUAAUGGCGAAAAUUGUCAUGUCACAUUUGUAUGGCAAUUAUAGAUUUCACUGAAAAAUUAUUUUUUAACAAAAAAACCAUAAAAAAAAAACGUUGUAAACAUAUGAAAACGAAAUCUUGUUUUAUUUAUUUAUAAUUAUUUUAUGACUGGCGAUAUUUGUAUAUCAACCUCUGAUGUAUUAGAAAAGUUAGCUAAACUGAGUGGUGGACAAGAGUACAUCGCAUUAAUGUUAACUACACUAAGUCGUUAAUGGCAAUGCACUGUAGAGUGUUGAUUAAACUAAGUGCUGGACAAUAGUCCAUCACAAAUUUUAACUUCACUAAGUAGUGGGCAGCAGUAAAACUACAACAGUGUUGACUGAAGUAACUGAUGAGCAGUGGAACGCUGAAACAAUUGUUAUCUGAACUGAGUGGUUGACAUGCAAACCACUUAUACAUUCAAUAGACUGAGUGCUGGACACUGGUACGCCACAAAAGAGUGGUUUAGGCAUUUUGGUCAGCUGCUUUCUUUGGGACCAUUUUAUGCAACAGUUGCCAUUCUUUUCAUUUUGAGUGAAACGAGUUAACACUGGAAUAAAGUUAUUAGGUUUCAUUAAUUUUGAAUUGAAUUCUUCUCGCUUUGAUCACUUGGUAACCUAUUUGGGAUAAUUACUAGAACAAUUAAAAUUUUAUUUUGUAAUUUUCAAGUAAAGAAAUAAAAUUUCUCUUAAAAUAAUA
rnacentral:lncRNA from 1 species